rnacentral:rRNA from 1 species
UACGUAGGGGGCAAGCGUUGUCCGGAUUUAUUGGGCGUAAAGAGCGUGUAGGCGGCCUGACAGGUCAGCUGUGAAAACUCGAGGCUCAACCUCGAGACGUCGGUUGAAACCAGCUGGCUAGAGUCCGGAAGAGGAGUGUGGAAUUCCCGGUGUAGCGGUGAAAUGCGCAGAUAUCGGGAAGAACACCCGUGGCGAAGGCGGCACUCUGGGACGGUACUGACGCUGAGACGCGAAAGCGUGGGGAGCGAACAGG